AACGAACGCUGGCGGCGUGGAUAAGACAUGCAAGUCGUGCGGAAACUGCUUGGUAGCAAUAUCGAGCAGUUUCAGCGGCGAAAGGGUGCGUAACGCGUGGGCAAUCUUCCUAAAAGCUUGGAAUAACACCGAGAAAUCGGAGCUAAUGCCGGAUGUUGACUUCGGGGGGAUUCCUCGGAAGUCCAAAGUUGGGGACUGUAAAGCCUGACACUUUGCGAUGAGCCCGCGGCCUAUCAGCUAGUUGGUGAGGUAACGGCUCACCAAGGCUAAGACGGGUAGCUGGUCUGAGAGGACGACCAGCCACACUGGAACUGAGACACGGUCCAGACACCUACGGGUGGCAGCAGUCGAGAAUUUUUCACAAU
rnacentral:rRNA from 1 species